UACGUAGGGGGCAAGCGUUGUCCGGAUUUAUUGGGCGUAAAGAGCUCGUAGGCGGUUUGUCGCGUCUGCUGUGAAAACUGGGGGCUCAACCCCCAGCCUGCAGUGGGUACGGGCAGACUAGAGUGCGGUAGGGGAGAUUGGAAUUCCUGGUGUAGCGGUGGAAUGCGCAGAUAUCAGGAGGAACACCGAUGGCGAAGGCAGAUCUCUGGGCCGUAACUGACGCUGAGGAGCGAAAGCAUGGGGAGCGAACAGG
rnacentral:rRNA from 1 species